UACGUAGGAGACGAGCGUUGUCCGGAAUCACUGGGCGUAAAGCGCGUGUAGGCGGAUCGGCAAGUCUGCUGUGAAAGCUCCUGGCUUAACCGGGAGUGGUCGGUGGAAACUGCCAGUCUGGAGGACGGUAGAGGUAGGUAGAAUUCCCGGUGUAGUGGUGAAAUGCGUAGAGAUCGGGAGGAACACCUGUGGCGAAGGCGGGUCUCUGGGCCGAUACUGACGCUGAGGAGCGAAAGCGUGGGGAGCGAAACAGG
rnacentral:rRNA from 1 species